rnacentral:tRNA from 1 species
GUGGGCGUAGCUCAAUGGUAGAGCACUGGACUGUGGCUCCAGGGGUUGAGGGUUCGAAACCCUUCGCUCACC